rnacentral:rRNA from 1 species
CGGCGCACGGGUGAGUAACGCGUGGAUGAUCGUACCCAUGAGUUAGGAAUAACGGCUGGAAACGGUCGCUAAUACCAAAUACCGGCUCCGAUUUCAACUUCGGGGGAAAGGUGGCCUCUGCUUGCAAGCCACUGCUCAUGGAUGAGUCCGCGUCCCAGUUAGCUAGUUGGUGGGGUAACGGCCCACCAAGGCGACGAUGGGGUAGCCGGUCUGAGAGGAUGACCGGCCACACUGGGACUGGAACACGGCCCAGACUCCUACGGGAGGCAGCAGUGGGGAAUAUUGCGCAAUGGGCGAAAGCCUGACGCAGCGACGCCGCGUGAGGGAUGAAAAGGGUCCUCGGAUCGUAAACCUCUGUCAGGAGGGAAGAACCGUCCACGGGUGCUAAUCAGGCCGUGGUCUGACGGUACCUCCAAAGGAAGCACCGGCUAACCUCCGUGCCAGCAGCUGC